rnacentral:lncRNA from 1 species
AAAAUCUUGCUGGCAUCUGCAAUAGUUUCUGGGUUUGGUGCCUGAUUAUGGGAUGGAUCCCCGGGUGGGGUAGUCUCUGGAUGGUCCAUCCUUUCAUCUUAGCUCCAAACUUUGUCUCUGUAACUCCUUCCAUGGGUAUUUUGUUCCCUGUUCUGAGGAAUGAGGUAUCCACACGUUGGUCUUCCUUUUUCUUGAUUUUCUUGUGCUUUGCAAAUUGUAUCUUGGGUAUUCUAAGUUUCUGGGCUAAUAUCCACUUAUCAGUGAGUGCAUAUCAAGUGACUUCUUUUGUGAUUGGGUUACCUCAAUAGUGCCGUAUUUCAUUCUUUCCCUUUUAUAGAAUCUUACUAUGUAGAUUUGAACUGGCAGUACUGCUGCCUCAGCCUAUCAAAUACUUAGAGUAGUAAUGUGCUCCAUUGAACCUUGAUGUAUUUCAUUCUUUACACUACACUCUGCUAAAUGAUAUAAUUAUAUUAUAUAUCAUAUGUACAUAACAUUUUAUAUAAUACAAUAAUAUCUAAACUAAUCUAUUAUCCCUUCUUACUUUUCUAUAUAGUAUAAUUAUGUAAUCCUUUCAAAUGACACACGUGAUUUUAGAACAUUUUAAAAUACAUCAUUCCUUUCUAAUUGUUUUCCACAUAACCUUAAAAAUUGAUACUUUACAGGAUCUUAGUCUAAAGUGAUUUUUAGGCUAUGAAAUCCUCUCUCCCUGAUCAACACAUUGAAUUAGGUAGCUUCCAUCUUUUUUGUUUCUUUGGUUAUAAAAGUACCUCUUACAACAAGCUAUUGUUUUUAUAUGAUUCUCAGCUUGAGAAGGUCUAGACUUGCUUUUUUCAUCAUACUUCACUCAUUGUCAAGGCUUAUGUACCUCAACUGUUACAUUGAGAGAAGACAUUCCUAACCUGCCACACAAGAAUCACUGAGUUUUCAUCCACAGUGUGUAUCUCUUGCACGUGCCCUGAUUCGCCAGCAAGAACGACGCUGCAACAGGAUCCUUCUGCACACGUUUAUUGGGAUAGCUUGAUUGCAGAGGCGAAGAGACCCCAAGCCCAGAACUGGUGCUGCUUAUAUAGGCCUAGGAGAGGCGUGUCUCACACCCGGAUUGGUUAUGCAUGGGUUAUGCUUACCACCUCAUUUGCAUGCCUACAUCUGAUUGGUUAACUUCUCUCUCAUCUGAUUGGUUAACUUCUCUCUCAUCUGAUUGGUUAAUUUUGGUUAAUUCUCAAAACCUCAUCUUGGCAAAAAAACUUUACUGUCUAUGUAUGUGUGGUGGCCAGUGGUAGCCAGCGCCACCCUGCAAUGGCACAUGUGGCUUCCCACAUGUAUCUCUUCCUAAAUUUAAUUUUGAGACUGUCUUGAAUUAGAUUUGUCCUCCCUUUUGUCUCUAAGCUUCUUGAGGAUACAUUGGUUUUCUUUCUUUCCCAUAGCUUUAUUGAUUUAUAAUUGGGAAUAUAUCCUGGGUAUUCAAUGUGAUGAUUUUAUAAAUAUAGACAUUGUAAAUUUUUAGCAUAACAAAAUAACUAGUAUAUGUGUUGCUUCGGAUAGCUGUUUUAUGCAGAGCAUGAGAACACUGAAUAUCUACUCCUAGAAUAGAUUUUAAGUACACAAUUCAGUAAUAAUAACUAUAAUCACCCUGCUGCACAGUAAAUCCCUCAGUUACUCAUUUUAUUACUGAGAGUGCAUACACCUUGCCUGAUGACUCCCCAUUUUGCUUAUUGAAUCCCUGUUACCUGAGAAUGAAAGAAUAUUUAAGGACUAGAAUUCAUCCUGCUAUAAAAUAGGGAGUGAGUGCUAUGUUAUUGAGGCUGUCUGCAGGCAAGACUGCAUGGGAAUGGAAGCUUAAGGAAGAAAUGAGAAUAAGAAGGCAAUAAAAAGAGAAGUUCAGAAUGAGUACUACUGUAGAGAGAAAAGGUAUAUAAAACAAUAAAAAUAAAAUAUAACUAAUUGAUUUUAUUCUCUCAGCAACAAAACUAGCUAGAGCAGAUAAGACAACAAAAGAGAAUUUUAAAGGUCAUGCUGAAGUCUAUUUAACGAACUAAGGGCUAGUAUUUAAUAGACCCUACCUAAUUUACAACAAGUUGCAGUAUGGGAUUUUAUUUGGUUUUGUUUUAUUAUUGUUGCUACCAUUCAAUAACAUGAGUUAAAAACAUAAUUCUUUCCUGUUUAUUUCCUCUAUCGUAAUAAAAAUUGCCUGAGACUGUUAUAGUUUCCACUGGAUUCCUGGCAUUACCAGAAUAUGAGCUCAGGCAUAUUCCAAGCAAGUAUAGUGUAAAAUGACUCUCAGCCCAGGGAGAAAAGUGUUCACUGUGUGAUGCAGUUAUUAUUAAUAAUUUUUUUUACUAUAUUCUCUGUGGAAACUCAGUCAUUUUGUCAACUUCAGGUUUUGUAACCUGAUUCCUUUCCUUAUCUGCUGUGCAUCCAUCUAUUUUUUUCUUAGAUUGCUUUUCUUUAUAACCAUAUUUUCCUUUGUAUUACAUAUUGUAUUCAGAUCAAGAGCAAAGCUACUCUUCAUGCAAUUUGAUGUCAAGAAUUCAGAGUAACCCCAUGUGGUAAACUUUGACCCUUGUACCUGAUUCAUUGUUUGCUUUGAGAAGAAAAUACAAAUUUUGUCCAUUAUCCACUGGGUAAAUUUAUCCUUACACAAAGCCAGUACAACAAAAACUAUACAAGCUCUAUUCACUUCAUAUUGAUUUCUGCACUCAAAAAUAUGACAGUUUUUUUUUUAGAGGAGGUGAAUUUUGAAGCAUUUUUAUCAUUAAACUCAAAUUUUUGAGCUUUGAAUGUCAGAGCCAUAAAUGUCUUUCCAGGGUAUUAUCAUGCUUGCUAUUUCUACAUGUAGAGAAGAGGAAAAUGUAAUAUUUGAGAAUAAAGUAUAGUGCAGUCAUAAAAGAAUUCACUUAAAAAUAUUUCCUUGGAACCUGCCACAUCAGCUCUAUCUUCGGGUCUCCUCACUAUAGUCUUUGCUUGAAACAUAUUGGUGGUUUUCAAUUCUUUCUACAGAAAAGUCUUUUCAACUCUAUUUUUCAUUGAAACACAUCCCUGUCUCCUUUGAUUUGUUCUCAAUUUUUUAUAUUUCUUACCUCUUUUGUCAUCCUGUAUGUCAGAAAGUAUCUGCCACCCCAAAUCCUUUAAUGUAUUUGUCUACCAACAUUUAUUUUCCUGUCAGAUGCACUCUUGGAAAAAUUUCUUGAUAUGGGGACUUUCUAUGCUGGUUCACAUCCAUUAUAAUUGGUUUCUUGAGUUUACCCGUGGUUAUGUUAGAUCAUUUCUUUCUUUUUGCUAUGUGCAUCUUAGGAUACAUUUUUGGUAUAAUGAACAGGGCAGAGUUUAAGUUUGUGUUUUGAAGUACAUCAGUACUUAGGACAAAAUUGAUGUUAAUGUAUUUGAAUUGACUAUGCCCUCUGUAAUCUUAACCCCAAGUGCUCUUAAUAGUAUCCCACAAACACUAUCUAAAUUCCUACCAUUAUACAUUCCCCGUGAGCAUGCUUUUGUGGUUUGCAUGUUCUCUUCUUUUCUAUUGACUAUCCUCAGUUGAAGGUUUUGCCACUUGCUUCCAUUUCCAUCUAGUUGGCCGUUUUCCUUGGUGAUCCCUUUAAAUGUUAUUAUCACUUAGGACUUAAUUGCCAUUGUCUGUAUCCUUUUAUGACUAUCAGAUUGUCUACUUGGUCAGUGUUCAGAGUAUACUAAUCAUCAAAUAUCUUUAGAUUUGUAUUAUGAUCACAAUACACAAUAGAAAACUUACUGUGUUAAAUUGUUUAAAUAUCAGCAAUGUAUCAUAGAAUCUAAUAAACAAAAUCUAGGCCAGUGACCAUUGCUGUGUUAGAUGUCUAUAUUCAGUUUCAGUCAAAAUUUUCUAGCUAACCCACCAUUACAUAGAUGUCUGAAACUGUCUUUUUUAAACUUUACAAUAUCAACCAACCAGACCCCACAGAGCUCCCAGGAAUUAAACACCAACCAAAGAGUGCACAUGAUAGGACCCAUGCCUCCAGCUGCAAAUAAAGCAGAGGAUGACCUUGUAGAACAUCAAUGAGAGGAGAGGCCCUUGGUCCUGGGAAGGUGGGAUGCCCCAUUGUAGAGGAAUGAAUGCUAGGGUGGGGAGGUGGGAGUAGGUGGGUGAGUGGGGGAGCACCCUCAUAGAAGAAGGGGGUGGGGGAUGGGAAAGAGGUUUCUGGAGGGGAAACCAAGAAAGGGGAUAAAUUUUGAAAUGUAAAUACAUAAAAUAUUCAAU